rnacentral:rRNA from 1 species
UACGUAGGGUGCAAGCGUUAUCCGGAUUCACUGGGUUUAAAGGGUGCGUAGGUGGGGCUGUAAGUCAGUGGUGAAAUCUCCAAGCUUAACUUGGAAACUGCCGUUGAUACUAUAGCUCUUGAAUGUUGUGGAGGUGAGCGGAAUAUGUCAUGUAGCGGUGAAAUGCUUAGAUAUGACAUAGAACACCAAUUGCGAAGGCAGCUCACUACACAAAUAUUGACACUGAGGCACGAAAGCGUGGGGAUCAAACAGG